UUUGUACUCCCUCUGUCCCGAAUUAGUUGACUCAGAUUUGUGAGGUAUCUAGACACGUUUGAGUGUUAGAUACAUCCGUAUCUAGAGAAAUCUAAGACAACUAUUUUGGGACGGAGGUAAUAUGAU
rfam:Triticum urartu cultivar G1812 contig1082941, whole genome shotgun sequence.